CGCGGGGUGGAGCAGCUUGGUAGCUCGUCGGGCUCAUAACCCGAAGGUCGUAGGUUCACAUCCUGCCCCCGCUACCA
rnacentral:tRNA from 1 species